rnacentral:rRNA from 1 species
UACGUAGGGACCGAGCGUUGUCCGGAAUCAUUGGGCGUAAAGAGCGUGUAGGCGGCCACUUAAGUCCUGCGUGAAAUCUUGCGGCUCAACCGCAAGCGGUCGUGGGAAACUGGGUGGCUAGAGUGCGGGAGAGGAGAGUGGAAUUCCUGGUGUAGCGGUGGAAUGCGCAGAUAUCGGGAGGAACACCGUUGGCGAAGGCGACUUUCUGGGCUGUUACUGACGCUGAAACGCGAAAGUCAGGGGAGCGAACAGG